rnacentral:lncRNA from 1 species
AUGUCGACCCACACACACACUGCAAGUCGACCCACACACACACUGCAAGUCGACACACACACACACACUGCAAGUCGACCCACACACACACUGCAAGUCGACCCACACCCACACUGCAAGUCGACCCACACACACACUGCAAGUCGACCCACACACACACUGCAAGUCGACACACACAGCAAGUCGACCCACACACACACUGCAAGUCGACACACACACACACACACUGCAAGUCGACACACACACACUGCAGGUCGACACACACACACACACACACACUGCAAGUUGACACACACACACUGCAGGUCGACACACACACUGCAAGUCGACCCACACACACUGCAAGUCGACCCACACACACACUGCAAGUCGACCCACACACACACUGCAAGUCGACCCACACACACACUGCAAGUCGACCCACACACACACUGCAAGUCGACCCACACACACACUGCAAGUCGACACACACACACACACACUGCAGGUCGACACACACACACUGCAGUCGACACACACACACACUACAAGUCGACACACACUGCAGGUCGACACACACACACACACUGCAAGUCGACCCACACACACACUGCAAGUCGACACACACACUGCAAGUCGACCCACACACACACUGCAAGUCGACCCACACCCACACUGCAAGUCGACCCACACACACACUGCAAGUCGACACACACACAGCAAGUCGACCCACACACACACUGCAAGUCGACACACACACACUGCAUGUCGACCCACACACACACUGCAAGUCGACCCACACACACACUGCAAGUCGACCCACACACACACUGCAAGUCGACACACACACACACUGCAAGUCGACCCACACACACACUGCAAGUCGACCCACACACACACUGCAAGUCGACCCACACACACACUGCAAGUCGACCCACACACACACUGCAAGUCGACACACACACACUGCAAGUCAACACACACACACACACACUGCAAGUCGACACACACACACACACACUGCAAGUCGACACACACACACACACACACACACACUGCAAGUCGACACACACACACACACACACACACACACACUGCAAGUCGACACACACACACACACUGCAAGUCGACACACACACACACACUGCAAGUCGACACACACACACACACACUGCAAGUCGACACACACACACUGCAAGUCGACACACACACACUGCAAGUCGACACACACACACUGCAAGUCGACACACACACACACUGCAAGUCGACACACACACACACUGCAAGUCGACACAAAAUGUCAGAAAAUGUGACUGUAAGUGUUGA